rnacentral:rRNA from 1 species
UACGUAGGUGGCAAGCGUUGUCCGGAUUUACUGGGCGUAAAGAGCGCGCAGGCGGUCGGAUUAGUCGCGUGUGAAAGCCCCCGGCUCAACUGGGGAGGGUCACGCGAUACUGAUCGACUGGAAGGCAGGAGAGGGUAGUGGAAUUCCCGGUGUAGUGGUGAAAUGCGUAGAUAUCGGGAGGAACACCAGUGGCGAAGGCGACUACCUGGCCCGUUCUUGACGCUGAGGCGCGAAAGCUAGGGGAGCAUACGGG